rnacentral:rRNA from 1 species
GACGAACGCUGGCGGCGUGCUUAACACGUGCAAGUCGAGCGGAAAAGCCCCUUUGGGGGUACGUCGAGCGGCGAACGGGUGAGUAACACGUGAGUAACCUGCCCCUGACUUCGGGAUAAGCCUGGGAAACUGGGUCUAAUACCGGGAUAUGACCAUUUCGGGCAUCCGAUGGUGGUGGAAAGUUUUUUCGGUUGGGGAGUGGGCUCGCGGCCGUAUCAGCUUGUUGGUGGGGUA